AUAUACACACUCUGCAUUAUAUACACACUCUGCAUUAUAUACACAGAGUCUGUGUAUAUAAUGCAGAAUGUGUGUUU